GAGGAAAAGAAACUAACUAGGAUUCCCUUAGUAACGGCGAGUGAACCGGGAUGAGCUCAAAUUUGAAAUCUGGCGUCUUUCAGGCGUCCGAGUUGUAAUCUAUAGAGGCGUUUUCCGCGCCGGACCGCGUCCAAGUCUCUUGGAAUAGAGUAUCAAAGAGGGUGACAAUCCCGUACUUGACGCGACAACCGGUGCUCUGUGAUACGUUCUCAAUGAGUCGAGUUGUUUGGGAAUGCAGCUCUAAAUGGGUGGUAAAUUCCAUCUAAGGCUAAAUAUUGGCGAGAGACCGAUAGCGAACAAGUACCGUGAGGGAAAGAUGAAAAGCACUUUGGAAAGAGAGUUAAACAGCACGUGAAAUUGUUAAAAGGGAAACGAUUGAAGUCAGUCGUGUGGGAAGUAUUCAGCCGUCUCUGGCGGUGUAUUUGCUUCUCACGGGUCAACAUCAGUUUGAUCCGGUAGAAAAAGGCGGGAAGAAGGUGGCACCCUCGGGUGUGUUAUAGCUUCCUGUCAUAUGUGCCGGACCAGACUGAGGAACGCAGCUUGCAGCAAUGCCGGGGUUCGCCCACGUACAAGCUUAGGAUGUUGACAUAAUGGCUUUAAACGACCCGU
rnacentral:rRNA from 1 species